AAGAAAUGCUGGGUUGUUUUGUCAACCCAAGUGCUGAAUAACAGCUGUUGGGUAAACGUGUUGGGUUAUUCUAAUGCAGUGUUGGGUUACUCUAACUCAAUAUUGGUACAGUGGGGAACAUCUAUGCUACUCUGCUGAUUGGGUUAUUAGUUAGGUUACACAAUAACCCAACUCACUGGUUUAUUGUACCCAACACUGUGUUGCCCUGCUACGUUUGAAAUCAGAGUUCCCUGCAGAUAACGUUCUUUCUGCCUGCCCGCCCUGGAAGAAGUGAACUGACCGGAGUCUUCAACAAAAAUGAAGCUAUGAAAAGAAGGAAGGAGACGUCCAGGACUGAACAGAGCUGUCACCUGUCACAGUGCAGUGCACCGACUGACUGCCGCUAUUUGCUUGGAUGUUGCUGAAAGAAAGGAGGCAUUCUUCAUUGUGCAGCACUAGCCUACUGUGGAGGCCGAGAGAGUUUUGACGAGGCUUCUGUACCCAGGAGGCGGAGGCAGCAAUUCCAGCUUCAAUGCGCACAGUCCUUUAAAAGGGACACCCAGCUAAGAUUUUAUUGCAAAUUCUACACAGAAUGCACUGCUCUACACAUUUGGUUUUGGAAACACUGUGUAUUAUUGUAAGUGUACACCAGGGGUGGGGAACCUUUUUCAUUUGAAGGGCCACUUCAAAUUACUCUGAGGGCCGUGAAAGUCCUCC